UCCCAGACACAAUAUUUAGCACCUUUGGCAAGGUGUUGGACAAUUUAAUUCAUGGAAAAAUAAAUUAACUGUGUUCUAAAUAUAGCAGAAUCCUGAGUUGUUGACAGUUUAGUUGAUCUGUUUUAAUUUUUAAAGUUAUAAAUUCUGAAACUGUUCCGCCGUGAAGGUAAGGCUUAAUAUGAUUCUUUUUUGGGGGUGCAACUUUUCCGUUGUGGCCAUUUUGGACUACAGGAAGUGGUGUUUUUGAAUUUAUGAUUGUCUGACUUAGAUUAUUCUCUAUUUUGUUUUAUUGCUGGAUUUUAACUAGAUCUACUGGCACGUGAGUAGGCAUUCAGUCGGUUUGUUUUCUUUUUUUUUUAGAUGGUGACAAUUUUUCAUUAAAACAAGGAAAGCGUUUUAAUUUCAGUCUAAAUUCUUUCAACAGAAAGCGUUUGUGUUUCAUAGAGAAUCGCGGAUGACGCCAGAGUGAGUAGAAUCAAUAGCACGCCUCUUGACCCUCCUAUACAGACAUGCGCAGAAGGGCUUGUAAAUCGUUUCAAUUAAAUGUAUGCGACUUACCAGAUUAAUAAACGACUGGAAGUUAAUGCUGCUUUACCAAAAUAUAUUUCCGGAUAAUUUGAAAAAUACUGCAAUGCUAUUGGACAAAACAUAAUUUCAUACACUAAAUAUGUUUUAAAAGCUAUCUUUGAGGAUUUAUUGUGCAAUAUUUUUAUAAAUAUUGGACGAAGAAUAAGUAUGUGGGGAAGUUUUGAAAAAUAUAUAUAAACUGUCGACCUGGUCACGACCAUGUGAUAAUUACGCUACACCGGUGUCCUGAUUAAUAAGGUCACACACCGGUAUGCCUACAUAGCGGAAACACCUUUUAUGCAAAGAAGACCACUUUAAAUAGCAAAAUCAGCAGGGUGGAAGCUUAGAAGAUACUCAUGUUCCGUGAUAACAUCAGUAAAAUCAACUUAGUCUCUAAAGUCGUAUUUUUCCAGGUACUCGCCUCCUUCUUCACGGCGUGUUUACAUCUUUUUUGUACGUAAAAGUUCGUUACUUAUACCAAAAAGUGAAGGUACCUCAAGUUUUGUACCAACAAUAUAGAAUUGAUCAUACACCGAGAUAUUGGACCUACUGUAUAUCGUCAGCUAAGUUAAGGUCGUCAGUAGUUUAGUGCGACCCACUAAAGAUGGAGCGUGUCCAAGCUAUGGAAAACAAAUGGUUGAAGACAUACAUCUAUUUGCAUAUGUCUAAGCCCCUUGCCUGGUUCAUGACUAGCAGUUUUCUCAUUCCUGAUGACACUCAAUCGUCAGACUUGGAUUGUCAAGAGGCAACAGACCUGAUUGAAAAUUUCAUAAGAUAUAAUUAUCAUGGUCAGUCUGCUUUCAAGCUUGAAUUUCUAUGUCCAUUAUUUAUUUAUUAUAGUGUUUUCUAUGUUUGAAAUAUUAACAAAAACAAAUAAAGCUGAACAUAUGUAAGAUUUUAGAAACACAUGCAAUACGUGUAAAAAUAUAUUUUGUAAAAGUCAUUUGCUGACACCCUGUAUGUAGUUGUUUUCAAUUUUUAACAUUCCCCCGCCCCCCCCCCCCCCCCCGCCACCACCCGUGUCCAAGUACCAUUGUUGCAGAAUACGUAUAUAAUAAUUAUUUACAAAGGCGUGUAAAAUAUUUUGUAGCGUCACUGGGGGGAAGCAUGUUUCAAACAUAAAAAUGAUUAAUGUUCAUAUUUCAAUAGAAAUAAAAUGAGAAAUGUCUACGAGGUUUUCUUUUUUUGUUCACAAACUUCUAAAAGGCGUAAGUAGGAUUUAUAUAGGCAGAUGGCCCCCAAUUUUUGAAAUAUAAAAAUAUCGAUGACAGUGUUUAAAAUCGACAGUUUUCAUUAAAAUAAACUUUAAACUACCGAGCUACGUCAUUUUCAAAAUUAACACAUUCUCAGUAUUGAUGCAAAAUGAGUUUAAAGUACGACCGGUACAGGCAUUUCGUGUUAAAUUGCUGAAUUCUGUCAUUUCAGACUCAAAACUCGCUUAUUAGCAACCCUUGCUCCGGUUAACAAUUUAUAACACUAUUUUAUUUGUUAAUUCCAUUUAAUAUUUUCCUAACCAGAAACCGAAGCAAGGGUUGCUAAUAAACGAAUUUUGGAAAAAAAUGAUAAUAUUUGUCUGGCCUUUCUGACGUAUACGAGUGGCCUCCCUGUUCGUUGCCAGGCAAUAUUAUAGGUGGCACCACUGUCAACAUGUGCAUGUGAAAACGAAAGUAGAUCUAGGAUCUAGGAAUUAUAACAACCUUUUACCCUUCUAAAUGGAAUUUAUAAGGGGUAGCAAGUGACUGGUUUCUGGAAACACCUUCAGCAAAACACGUAUACCUUCGUGAGCCUGUCAAGACAUUUUGUUAAUGCUAAGUGUAAUAUAUUGAUUGCAGAUUUAAUUAUUAGGAUGAAUGGGGACAACAGUGAAUAAAUGUGUACGUCAUUUAUUUAGUAAGCAUGCUGAACCGAUGUGAAUAUACAUAUCAGUUCGACAGUGAACAGACGCUGUUUGUAUUUUUCGAUUUUAACGAUGACAAAUCGUUCAUACGGCAUGAGAAUAAUCAGUCUAUCGUGUGGUUAGACAAUACUUGUACAACGUGUACCAAGAAACCAUUAUUUAUUGUGCUUACAAGACCUUUCCUCACUGAAAAUACUGUUAAUAACCCAAAACAUCCGUUUUGAAGUCAUUGCGACAUUGUAAAAUGAUCAUCGAACAGAACGAAUGUCUACGGAACACUUGAUUAAGUGUGCUGCCAUCAAAUAUGGAUGAACAAUGACAUUUAAACAGUUCUGUGAAGAAAUAUCUGAGCUCGAACCAUGACAUGACAAAAAUCUUUUGGAAAUAUAUGCAAGUAAAGAGUGAGACACCAAAUUUGUAAAAGACAUAUGAAGCAAAUGAACAGCAAGUUCCGUAAGCUGCAAACAUUUGGAAGAAUUUGUACGAUGUACUGCAUGCAUGGGACAUUGAUGAAUUUAUAUUUCUUGGUCAUUUUUUAGGUCCCCUUUUCGUGAAAACUAUAAAUCUAUUGCUUUAAGCCUUUGUACAUGUCUUUACUAUCAGUUAGGGAGUAAAAAGGACACGAAACAUAACAAUUUUUAUUGCAUAUUGUUAAUUGUCAAUCAAUUACAGACAAGGGUAAGCACCUGGUUCAUAAUAUUUUGGCAUAUCUUAAUAUAUGUCUGGUUAAAUAUUGUCUACAAGAUGUUGAUUAAGCUUAUAAUAGCAUGUCGUUUUGACAGUUUUAGAUGCUGGCAAAGCAAAAUGCGUUUAGAAAAGAACAUGUCAGAAAUGUAAAUGUUAUAUGUCUUUUACUGAGGUUAGAAACAAUGAAAAAUAUAUCUAUUUUGGACCAAUUGUUGCCCGUUUAGAUUGAUAGGUUUUCAUUGAAAACAGCUGAAACAGAAGGACAAAUAGAAAAUUAUUUCGUUUGUAACAUGUAUUGUAAACUGCAGUAACUUCAAAAAAUAAUCUGUAAUUAAUCACAAUAUUUUGAAGUAACACAUUUA